UCUGUCUCUCCCAUUCCUUCCAUCUGUCUGUCCUCUGUCUGUCCUCCCCUCCUCCUCCCUCUACCCUAAUUUCGUUAUCCUUUCCCUUCUCCGCCUUCCCCUGCUUGCCCGGCUCUACCCUCCGCACCCCACCCGCCCCGCCCCUUGCCUUUGCUCUGCCUCCACCUUUCGGGUCCCCUCUCUCCUGUCCCACACUGUUUCACCCCAUGCCUUCCUGGGCUUGGCCUUCCGUCUUCCUUUCCCUCCUCCUCUCCAUUGGUCACUCUCUCCACUCCUCUCUUCUCUUGCCGAUAUGUCCUUUGGCAUCUGUCACUUCCCCUUUGGCCAACCUCCCGCCCCCACAUUUCUAUAUUCUCCAUCUUUUCCUGGUACCUCUGUCUGUCCUUUCCU
rnacentral:lncRNA from 1 species